AAGAGCAAAGGCAAACCCAGGAAACUCAUCUUUUGGAUGGUGACAAGUGUCCAGGGUUGGUGACACUUGUCACCAAUAUCCUCACACUUUCAUCAGCCAUAUUAAAACAAAAAUGGGAAAAUAAAACAUCAUUCUUCAAGAGUUUUUCUCUCUCUAACUCCUAAAGCAGAUGUAGGCUCUUCAAUUACACAACCACUCUCUCUUUGACCUACCUGCCGGAGAAGAAGGUGGCAGGCGGCCAUCCACGGUGGCGCCGCCCCUCUAAUUCCACCUUCCCCAUUAAAAUACUCUCCUGAGUUUGAAUCUGAACUCAGAUUCUUCACCACUAUCCCUAAUCGUCCGGAUCGGGGACGUCUAACUAAAACCCUAAGACCAAAAUCGAAUCAACAAUAGUGAAGGUCUCCCCCAAUUAAACAUGGAUUCCUCUCAAGUCUACAAGGUGAGUACAAAGGUGAAGCGGAGGAAAGAAAAGAAGAGAUAAAGGAGAGAGGAGUAUACUACCUCAUAAUUAGUCUGAAGGGCGCACCUCCGGCGAGCUUAGGUGAAGUGAUGUUGAUGCUGAUUGAUUGAAAAAGGGGCGCUGUUAUUCAACAGGUUUUUUGGAAAAGUUCUGAAGAGUUGCUUUUGAAUUGGGAACUUCCAAAAGAGCUUUUGGAAGAGUCUGUGAAAUUUGCUUCAAACUGCUGUGUUUACAGCUUAUUCCAAUUUUUUAAAUAAAAUUAUUUCUGAUGUAAGAGAGACUUUUUGGAUUAUGAACUUAGAGAUUGCUUGUAACAUGUACAAACUUAAUUUGGAAUUUCUCUUUUUGGCCAUUCCAAUUUUUUAAAUAAAAUUAUUUCUGAUGUAACAGAGACUUUUUGGAUUAUGAACUUAGGGAUUGCUUGUAACAUGUACAAACUUAAUUUGGAAUUUCUCUUUUUGGCCAGUUAUGUAAUUGUUUUGGAUUAUUAAGAA